GACGAACGCUGGCGGCGUGCCUAAUACAUGCAAGUAGAACGCUGAAGAGAGGAGCUUGCUCUUCUUGGAUGAGUUGCGAACGGGUGAGUAACGCGUAGGUAACCUGCCUUGUAGCGGGGGAUAACUAUUGGAAACGAUAGCUAAUACCGCAUAACAAUGGAUGACACAUGUCAUUUAUUUGAAAGGGGCAAUUGCUCCACUACAAGAUGGACCUGCGUUGUAUUAGCUAGUAGGUGAGGUAACGGCUCACCUAGGCGACGAUACAUAGCCGACCUGAGAGGGUGAUCGGCCACACUGGGACUGAGACACGGCCCAGACUCCUACGGGAGGCAGCAGUAGGGAAUCUUCGGCAAUGGGGGCAACCCUGACCGAGCAACGCCGCGUGAGUGAAGAAGGUUUUCGGAUCGUAAAGCUCUGUUGUAAGUCAAGAACGAGUGUGAGAGUGGAAAGUUCACACUGUGACGGUAGCUUACCAGAAAGGGACGGCUAACUACGUGCCAGCAGCCGCGGUAAUACGUAGGUCCCGAGCGUUGUCCGGAUUUAUUGGGCGUAAAGCGAGCGCAGGCGGUUUGAUAAGUCUGAAGUUAAAGGCUGUGGCUCAACCAUAGUUUGCUUUGGAAACUGUCAAACUUGAGUGCAGAAGGGGAGAGUGGAAUUCCAUGUGUAGCGGUGAAAUGCGUAGAUAUAUGGAGGAACACCGGUGGCGAAAGCGGCUCUCUGGUCUGUAACUGACGCUGAGGCUCGAAAGCGUGGGGAGCGAACAGGAUUAGAUACCCUGGUAGUCCACGCCGUAAACGAUGAGUGCUAGGUGUUGGAUCCUUUCCGGGAUUCAGUGCCGCAGCUAACGCAUUAAGCACUCCGCCUGGGGAGUACGACCGCAAGGUUGAAACUCAAAGGAAUUGACGGGGGCCCGCACAAGCGGUGGAGCAUGUGGUUUAAUUCGAAGCAACGCGAAGAACCUUACCAGGUCUUGACAUCCCGAUGCUAUUUCUAGAGAUAGAAAGUUACUUCGGUACAUCGGUGACAGGUGGUGCAUGGUUGUCGUCAGCUCGUGUCGUGAGAUGUUAGGUUAAGUCCCGCAACGAGCGCAACCCCUAUUGUUAGUUGCCAUCAUUCAGUUGGGCACUCUAGCGAGACUGCCGGUAAUAAACCGGAGGAAGGUGGGGAUGACGUCAAAUCAUCAUGCCCCUUAUGACCUGGGCUACACACGUGCUACAAUGGUUGGUACAACGAGUUGCAAGUCGGUGACGGCAAGCUAAUCUCUUAAAGCCAAUCUCAGUUCGGAUUGUAGGCUGCAACUCGCCUACAUGAAGUCGGAAUCGCUAGUAAUCGCGGAUCAGCACGCCGCGGUGAAUACGUUCCCGGGCCU
rnacentral:rRNA from 1 species